CACGUAGGGUGCGAGCGUUGUCCGGAAUUAUUGGGCGUAAAGAGCUCGUAGGCGGUCUGUCGCGUCGGCUGUGAAAACUCGGGGCUCAACUCCGAGCCUGCAGUCGAUACGGGCAGACUAGAGUGCUGUAGGGGAGACUGGAAUUCCUGGUGUAGCGGUGAAAUGCGCAGAUAUCAGGAGGAACACCGGUGGCGAAGGCGGGUCUCUGGGCAUUUCCUGACGCUGAGGCGCGAAAGCGUGGGGAGCAAACGGG
rnacentral:rRNA from 1 species